GACGAACGCUGGCGGCGUGCUUAACACAUGCAAGUCGAACGGAAAGGCCCUGCUUGCAGGGUACUCGAGUGGCGAACGGGUGAGUAACACGUGGGUGAUCUGCCCUGCACUUCGGGAUAAGCCUGGGAAACUGGGUCUAAUACCGGAUAGGAGCCAUUUUUAGUGUGAUGGUUGGAAAGUUUUUUCGGUGUAGGAUGAGCUCGCGGCCUAUCAGCUUGUUGGUGGGGUAAUGGCCUACCAAGGCGGCGACGGGUAGCCGGCCUGAGAGGGUGGACGGCCACCUUGGGACUGAGAUACGGCCCAGACUCCUACGGGAGGCAGCAGUGGGGAGUAUUGCACAAUGGGCGCGCGCCUGAUGCAGCGACGCCGCGGUGGGGAUGACGGCCUUCGGGUUGUAAACUCCUUUCGCUAGGGACGAAGCUUUUUGUGACGGUACCUAGAUAAGAAGCACCGGCUAACUACGUG
rnacentral:rRNA from 1 species